GACGAACGCUGGCGGCGUGCUUAACACAUGCAAGUCGAGCGGAAAGGCCACUUCGGUGGUACUCGAGCGGCGAACGGGUGAGUAACACGUGAGUAAUCUGCCCCUGGCUUUGGGAUAGCCACCGGAAACGGUGAUUAAUACCGGAUAUGACCACGUCUCGCAUGGGGUGUGGUGGAAAGUUUUUCGGCCAGGGAUGUGCUCGCGGCCUAUCAGCUUGAUGGUGAGGUAAUGGCUCACCAUGGCUUCGACGGGUAGCCGGCCUGAGAGGGUGACCGGUCACACUGGGACUGAGACACGGCCCAGACUCCUACGGGAGGCAGCAGUGGGGAAUAUUGGACAAUGGGCGGAAGCCUGAUCCAGCAACGCCGCGUGAGGGAUGACGGCCUUCGGGUUGUAAACCUCUUUCAGUACCGACGAAGCGCAAGUGACGGUAGGUACAGAAGAAGCACCAGCCAACUACGUGCCAGCAGCCGCCGUAAUAC
rnacentral:rRNA from 1 species